GAAUUCACUAGUGAUUCAGGCCUAACACAUGCAAGUCGAACGGCAGCACGGGGGCAACCCUGGUGGCGAGUGGCGAACGGGUGAGUAAUACAUCGGAACGUGCCCAUGUCGUGGGGGAUAACGUAGCGAAAGCUACGCUAAUACCGCAUACGAUCUACGGAUGAAAGCGGGGGACCGUAAGGCCUCGCGCGAUUGGAGCGGCCGAUGGCAGAUUAGGUAGUUGGUGGGGUAAAGGCUCACCAAGCCUGCGAUCUGUAGCUGGUCUGAGAGGACGACCAGCCACACUGGGACUGAGACACGGCCCAGACUCCUACGGGAGGCAGCAGUGGGGAAUUUUGGACAAUGGGCGCAAGCCUGAUCCAUCAAAGCCGCGUGCAGGAUGAAGGCCUUCGGG
rnacentral:rRNA from 1 species